GAUGAACGCUGGCGGCGUGCCUAAUACAUGCAAGUAGAACGCUGAAGGAGGAGCUUGCUCUUCUGGAUGAGUUGCGAACGGGUGGGUAACGCGUAGGUAACCUGCCUGGUAGCGGGGGAUAACUAUUGGAAACGAUAGCUAAUACCGCAUGACAACAGUUAUUGCAUGAUAACUGUUUAAAAGGGGCAACUGCUCCACUACCAGAUGGACCUGCGUUGUAUUAGCUAGUUGGUGAGGUAACGGCUCACCAAGGCGACGAUACAUAGCCGACCUGAGAGGGUGAUCGGCCACACUGGGACUGAGACACGGCCCAGACUCCUACGGGAGGCAGCAGUAGGGAAUCUUCGGCAAUGGACGGAAGUCUGACCGAGCAACGCCGCGUGAGUGAAGAAGGUUUUCGGAUCGUAAAGCUCUGUUGUAAGAGAAGAACGAGUGUGAGAGUGGAAAGUUCACACUGUGACGGUAUCUUACCAGAAAGAGACGGCUAACUACGUG
rnacentral:rRNA from 1 species